ACACAUGUACAAUGAUGCUUCAUUCAGUCAUUCUGCUCUCUGCCUUGGCAUGUGUGAGUUUAGGAGAUGAAAUCACACCAGAGCGCAGUGAAGAGUUUGCUGCAGUGUCUUCAACUGUUACAUUAUCCUGCAGUUAUUCCUCUGCAUAUUCACUUCUAUGGUACCGUCAGAAUCCCGGAUCAGCUCCUCAAUUCCUUGUGCUCAUAAUGGAGGGUGUGAAAGAGACUAAGACAUCUGAGGUAGAUCCCAGGUUCUCUACUAAGACUAGAAAAGAAAAAGAGAACAAACGUGUGGAUCUGGAGAUCUCCUCUGCUGAAGUGUCAGACUCUGCUGUGUAUUACUGUGCUCUGAGGCCCACAGUCACAGGAAACACUGUAACACUGUACAAAAACCUGACACAACUGAAAAGGCAUAACUAUUAUGCCUUCUACUAACAGACUGAAGCACAUAAAUGAAAGAAUCACAUUCCCAAAUUGCCAACUCAGACACUGAGAACAAAAAGUCUGAUGGAACAUAAAUACCCAUGUUUAAAAUUAGAUUAAAAAUCUUUGUACAAACACAACAUUACAGUCAUUAAGUCAAAGCUUCAUUUCACAAAUAAACUAAAUUCAUGAACAGAAUGCCGAUUUUUGUUUUUUAAA